UGCAAUAGUGUGGGGAUUUUUAUGUGUGUCUAUGGUUGCCUAUUUAUUAUUGCAAUUACAUAUCCAAUGAGUAAAUAAUGCAAUAAUACAAC
rnacentral:antisense_RNA from 22 species